rnacentral:lncRNA from 1 species
GGGUUCAGAGCUCACAUCUUGUUAACGCCAGGACAGAACUAUUGGAGGGUUCAGAGCUCACAUCUUGUUAAUGUCCAGGACAGAACGAUCGGAGGGUUCAGAGCUCACAUCUUGUUAACGCCAGGACAGAACUAUUGUAGGGUUCAGAGCUCACAUCUUGUUAACGCCAGGACAGAACGAUCGGAGGGUUCAGAGGUCACAUCUUGUUAACGCCAGGACAGAACUAUUGUAGGGUUCAGAGCUCACAUCUUGUUAACGCCAGGACAGAACGAUCGGAGGGUUCAGAGGUCACAUCUUGUUAACGCCAGGACAGAACGAUUGGAGGGUUCAGAGGUCACAUCUUGUUAACGUCCAGGACAGAACGAUCGGAGGGUUCAGAGCUCACAUCUUGUUAACGCCAGGACAGAACGAUCGGAGGGUUCAGAGGUCACAUCUUGUUAACGCCAGGACAGAACGAUUGGAGGGUUCAGAGCUCACAUCUUGUUAACGCCAGGACAGAACGAUCGGAGGGUUCAGAGGUCACAUCUUGUUAAUGU